rnacentral:rRNA from 1 species
UACGGAGGGGGGCUAGCGUUGUUCGGAAUUACUGGGCGUAAAGCGUACGUAGGCGGCUUUGUAAGUUAGAGGUGAAAGCCCAGAGCUCAACUCUGGAAUUGCCUUUAAGACUGCAUCGCUUGAAUCGUGGAGAGGUUAGUGGAAUUCCGAGUGUAGAGGUGAAAUUCGUAGAUAUUCGGAAGAACACCAGUGGCGAAGGCGACUAACUGGACACGUAUUGACGCUGAGGUACGAAAGCGUGGGGAGCAAACAGG